UACAGAGGUCUCAAGCGUUGUUCGGAUUCAUUGGGCGUAAAGGGUGCGUAGGCGGCGCGGUAAGUCGGGUGUGAAAUCUCGGAGCUUAACUUCGAAACUGCAUUCGAUACUGCGGUGCUUGAGGACUGGAGAGGAGACUGGAAUUCAUGGUGUAGCAGUGAAAUGCGUAGAGAUCAUGAGGAAGACCAGUGGCGAAGGCGGGUCUCUGGACAGUUCCUGACACUGAGACACGAAGGCCAGGGGAGCAAACGGG
rnacentral:rRNA from 1 species